AUUCCUACGGGAGGCAGCAGUGGGGAAUAUUGCACAAUGGGCGAAAGCCUGAUGCAGCGACGCCGCGUGAGGGAUGAAGGCCUUCGGGUUGUAAACCUCUUUCAGCAGGGAAGAAGCGCAAGUGACGGUACCUGCAGAAGAAGCACCGGCUAACUACGUGCCAGCAGCCGCGGUAAUACGUAGGGUGCAAGCGUUGUCCGGAAUUAUUGGGCGUAAAGAGCUUGUAGGCGGUUUGUCGCGUCUGCUGUGAAAUUUCGGGGCUCAACCCCGAACUUGCAGUGGGUACGGGCAGACUAGAGUGUGGUAGGGGAGACUGGAAUUCCUGGUGUAGCGGUGAAAUGCGCAGAUAUCAGGAGGAACACCGAUGGCGAAGGCAGGUCUCUGGGCCACUACUGACGCUGAGAAGCGAAAGCAUGGGGAGCGAACAGGAUUAGAUACCCUGGUAGUCCAUGCCGUAAACGUUGGGAACUAGGUGUGGGUCUCAUUCCACGAGAUCCGUGCCGCAGCUAACGCAUUAAGUUCCCCGCCUGGGGAGUACGGCCGCAAGGCUAAAACUCAAAGGAAUUGACGGGGGCCCGCACAAGCGGCGGAGCAUGCGGAUUGAUUCGAUGCAACGCGAAGAACCUUACCAAGGCUUGACAUGUGCCGGUAAAGUGCAGAGAUGUGCUCCCCGCAAGGUCGGUACACAGGUGGUGCAUGGUUGUCGUCAGCUCGUGUCGUGAGAUGUUGGGUUAAGUCCCGCAACGAGCGCAACCCUCGUUCUAUGUUGCCAGCGGGUUAUGCCGGGGACUCAUAGGAGACUGCCGGGGUCAACUCGGAGGAAGGUGGGGAUGACGUCAAAUCAUCAUGCCCCUUAUGUCUUGGGCUUCACGCAUGCUACAAUGGCCAGUACAAAGGGCUCCGAUACCGUAAGGUGGAGCGAAUCCCAAAAAACUGGUCUCAGUUCGGAUUGGGGUCUGCAACUCGACCCCAUGAAGUGGGAGUCGCUAGUAAUCCCAGAUCAGCGACGCUGCGGUGAAUACGUUCCCGGGCCU
rnacentral:rRNA from 1 species